ensembl:lncRNA
AUGAAAUCUCCCUGCAGUGUGAACAGCUGAACUUAAUAUAGAGGAAAUUUCUCAAAGAAGUGCCCUGGUGCCUAGCAAAUGUGCCUGUCAAAAAGGGUUGCUCCUUUCUGGGUAUUUGUUUUAGCAAGUCCCAGCCUACAGGAUUACACAGAGUGGCUGAGGAUAGAUUUCUGCUUUAAGCAGGUUUUCAUUUUGUAGCUUUGAAAAUUACACUUUUCAUUAGCAUAAAUGUGACAGCAGAUUAAAGAAUGAAAUUCUAUUUAACAAAAAGAACUUCAAGCUAAUAAUUCUUCAGAUAACCAAGAUACGAAGUUCUGAAGAUCAGCACAAUUUCUUCUAACAGGGUCUCCAUGCAAAGAACAGAAGUCACACUGUGCCUGCCAAAGUCCAGAAGCUUUCCUGCACUGUCAGGCACAUACCAUGUCAAGCAUCCAAGCAGUUGGAGUUGAAAGAAGAAAGAGGGGAGAAGGAACGAAUGACAAGCAGCUCCCAGUGAUCGUAGAGCAGCUGCCUGAAGUUCCCCCCCAGAUGCACAGGAUCCAACACAGCACCGAGUUGGGCAUGCAACCCUGCAGAUCACAAGGAGGGAUUGAUUCAAGGUCCCAGGACUCGUCACUAGAAAGGUAUCUGGCCCCAGCACACGACAUGCUACAGAAGAAAAUCCUGCCAUAGCAUCCUCCUCACAGCACCAACAAGGAUGCCCAAAUCUCCUGAGACACAAAGCACACAUCAUAUGGCCAAGAGCCACAGCACACCCCCACACACCUUGGACAGCUGACAGCUGAGGCAGAUCCAGAAGUGGUGAAGAUGAUUCACAAAAUGGAAGACUGACAUUCACAACUCUCCAGGCUCCUGCUCCAUGGCAGGAGGGACCCAAGCUAACUGCAGCUGGCCAGCACAACCUGGGGGCAAUUUCAGCACGCUCAUCUGGUCUGCCUGGUCCACACCCAGAGAAACAGAUUUUUCAGCAGCCCCCACUACCACAGGCUCUUUUGAGGGGCUACAUUUGGACUGUUCAAAGCUAUAAAAGAUUCAGCAACCAGCAAGUCUGCAUGUGUUGUAAAUGAGCUGCUUGUCCUUCUGGUUUAAUUUUCUUUAGAG